rnacentral:rRNA from 1 species
AUGAACGCUAGCUACAGGCUUAACACAUGCAAGUCGCGGGGCAGCAUGGGGGUUGCUUGCAAUCCCCGAUGGCGACCGGCGCACGGGUGAGUAACGCGUAUCCAACCUGCCCUUCACCACGGGAUAACCCGGCGAAAGUCGGACUAAUACCGUAUGUUGUCCAUUGACGGCAUCCGAUUUGGACGAAAGGUUUGGCGGUGAAGGAUGGGGAUGCGUCCGAUUAGCUGGACGGCGGGGUGACGGCCCACCGUGGCGACGAUCGGUAGGGGUUCUGAGAGGAAGGUCCCCCACACUGGAACUGAGACACGGCCCAGACUCCUACGGGAGGCAGCAGUGAGGAAUAUUGGUCAAUGGGCGUAAGCCUGAACCAGCCAAGUAGCGUGCAGGAUGACGGCCCUAUGGGUUGUAAACUGCUUUUAUGCGGGGAUAAAGUGGCCCACGUGUGGGUUUUUGCAGGUACCGCAUGAAUAAGGACCGGCUAAUUCCGUG